rnacentral:rRNA from 1 species
GCUUGUCUCAAGACUAAGCCAUGCAUGUCUAAGUAUAAGCGACGUUAUACGGUGAAACUGCGAAUGGCUCAUUAAAUCAGUUAUAGUUUAUUUGAUGGUCUCUCACCACUUGGAUAACCGUGGUAAUUCUAGAGCUAAUACAUGCGUGGAGUCCCGACUUUUGUGGAAGGGAUGUAUUUAUUAGAUUCAAAACCAAUGCGGGGCCUCGGUCCCGGUGCUUUGGUGAUUCAUAGUAACUGUUCGGAGCGCAGGGCCCUCGCGCCGGCGCCGGAUCAUUCAAGUUUCUGCCCUAUCAACUGUCGAUGGUAAGGUAUUGGCUUACCAUGGUUGCAACGGGUGACGGAGAAUUAGGGUUCGAUUCCGGAGAGGGAGCCUGAGAAACGGCCACCACAUCCAAGGAAGGCAGCAGGCGCGCAAAUUACCCAAUCCCGACACGGGGAGGUAGUGACAAUAAAUAACAAUACAGGGCUUUCGUAAGUCUUGUAAUUGGAAUGAGAACAAUUUAAAUCCCUUAACGAGGAACAAUUGGAGGGCAAGUCUGGUGCCAGCAGCCGCGGUAAUUCCAGCUCCAAUAGCGUAUAUUAAAGUUGUUGCAGUUAAAAAGCUCGUAGUUGGAUUUCGGCGGCGUCGCGUCGGUCCGCCUCGCGGCGUGUCACUGGCGCGGCGCGGCUUUCUCUCGAGGGCCGCGCGUGCUCUUGAUUGAGCGUGCGCGGGACUCGGGACGUUUACUUUGAAAAAAUUAGAGUGUUCAAAGCAGGCGGUGGGCUUGAAUACAUUAGCAUGGAAUAAUGGAAUAGGACGUCGGUCCUGUUUUGUUGGUUUCCGGGACCGAGGUAAUGAUUAAUAGGGACAGUUGGGGGCAUUCGUAUUCAAUUGUCAGAGGUGAAAUUCUUGGAUUUAUGGAAGACGCACGCAUGCGAAAGCAUUUGCCAAGGAUGUUUUCGUUAAUCAAGAACGAAAGUUGGA